rnacentral:rRNA from 1 species
UAGGGAAUCUUCGGCAAUGGACGAAAGUCUGACCGAGCAACGCCGCGUGAGUGAAGAAGGUUUUCGGAUCGUAAAACUCUGUUGUUAGAGAAGAACAAGGACGUUAGUAACUGAACGUCCCCUGACGGUAUCUAACCAGAAAGCCACGGCUAACUACGUGCCAGCAGCCGCGGUAAUACGUAGGUGGCAAGCGUUGUCCGGAUUUAUUGGGCGUAAAGCGAGCGCAGGCGGUUUCUUAAGUCUGAUGUGAAAGCCCCCGGCUCAACCGGGGAGGGUCAUUGGAAACUGGGAGACUUGAGUGCAGAAGAGGAGAGUGGAAUUCCAUGUGUAGCGGUGAAAUGCGUAGAUAUAAGGAGGAACGCCAGUGGCGAAGGCGGCUCUCUGGUCUGUAACUGACGCUGAGGCUCGAAAGCGUGGGGAGCAAACAGG